rnacentral:lncRNA from 1 species
CACUAGGGGCCUUAAGUUGAGAUCGAAAAAGUGGCUCCUGACCUUUUUCUUGAAGUCUACAAUCCCCUGCAGAUAUGAGUCGGAGCUGAACUCUACCAUGAUCUUGUGAAAUUCUUUCGAGGAGCGGAAGGCUUCGACCGCAGUGACUUUGGCUGCCUCCAACUUUUCCUUACACUUAUUAUUUUAUGCGGAUAGCCGAGCUUCUGCAUCACUUCAAGCCUUGGUG